UAAGACAGAGGUGGCAAGCGUUGUCCGGACUGACUGGGCGUAAAGCGCACGCAGGUGGUCACUCAAGUGGGGUGUGAAAGCGGGCCGCUUAACGGCCCGAGGCCAUCUCAGACUGGCUGACUGGAGGGCGGCAGAGGUCGGUGGAAUUGCCGGUGUAGUGGUGAAAUGCGUAGAGAUCGGCAGGAACACCCAGGGGGAAACCAGCCGACUGGGCCGCACCUGACACUCAUGUGCGAAAGCGUGGGGAGUGAACUGGAUUAGAUACCCAGGUAAUCCACGCCGUAAACGAUGGACGCUCGGCAUCUGGGGCGGGUAUCCCCCGCUCUGGGUGCCUCAGCUAACGCGGUAAGCGUCCCGCCUGGGAACUACGAGCGCAAGCUUA
rnacentral:rRNA from 1 species